AGAGUUUGAUCAUGGCUCAGAAUCAACGCUGGCGGCGCGCCUAACACAUGCAAGUCGCACGAGAAAGCGGGAGCAAUCUCGCAAGUAAAGUGGCGUACGGGUGAGUAACACGUGGAUCAUCUGCCCUGGAGUGGGGAAUAACGCUGGGAAACCGGCGCUAAUACCGCAUAUACCCGAGAGGGGAAAGCAGCAAUGCGCUCGAGGAGGAGUCCGCGGCCGAUUAGCUAGUUGGCAGGGUAAAAGCCUACCAAGGCUGUGAUCGGUAGCCGGCCUGAGAGGGCACACGGCCACACUGGCACUGAAACACGGGCCAGACUCCUACGGGAGGCAGCAGUGGGGAAUCUUGCACAAUGGGGGAAACCCUGAUGCAGCGACGCCGCGUGAGCGAUGAAGCCCUUCGGGGUGUAAAGCUCUUUCGGCAGGGAAGAUUAUGACGGUACCUGCAGAAGCAGCUGCGGCUAACUACGUGCCAGCAGCCGCGGUAAUACGUAGGCAGCAAGCGUUGUUCGGAGUUACUGGGCGUAAAGGGUGUGUAGGUGGCGCGCUAAGUUCCGUGUGAAAUCUCCCGGCUCAACCGGGAGGGUGCGCGGAAAACUGGCGGGCUCGAGUACGGGAUGGGAGAGUAGAAUUCCUGGUGUAGCGGUGAAAUGCGUAGAUAUCAGGAGGAAUACCGGUGGUGUAGACGGCUCUCUGGACCGUAACUGACACUGAGACACGAAAGCGUGGGUAGCAAACAGGAUUAGAUACCCUGGUAGUCC
rnacentral:rRNA from 1 species